UACGUAGGGGGCGAGCGUUGUCCGGAUUUAUUGGGCGUAAAGAGCGUGUAGGCGGCAGCGUGUGUCGGGCGUGAAAUCCCACGGCUCAACCGUGGAAGUGCACUCGAAACUGCGCAGCUAGAGUCCUGGAGAGGAAGGUGGAAUGCUUGGUGUAGAGGUGAAAUUCGUAGAUAUCAAGCGGAACACCGGUGGCGAAGGCGGCCUUCUGGACAGUGACUGACGCUGAGACGCGAAAGCGUGGGGAGCAAACAGG
rnacentral:rRNA from 1 species